rnacentral:rRNA from 1 species
UACGUAGGGCGCAAGCGUUUGUCCGGAUUUAUUGGGCGUAAAGAGCUCGUAGGCGGUCUGUCGCGUCGGCUGUGAAAACCCGGAGCUCAACUCCGGGCCUGCAGUCGAUACGGGCAGACUGGAGUUCGGCAGGGGAGACUGGAAUUCCUGGUGUAGCGGUGAAAAUGCGCAGAUAUCAGGAGGAACACCAAUGGCGAAGGCAGAUCUCUGGGCCGUAACUGACGCUGAGGAGCGAAAGCAUGGGGAGCGAACAGG